rnacentral:rRNA from 1 species
CGCUGGCGGCGUGCCUAAUACAUGCAAGUCGAGCGAAUGGAUUGAGAGCUUGCUCUCAAGAAGUUAGCGGCGGACGGGUGAGUAACACGUGGGUAACCUGCCCAUAAGACUGGGAUAACUCCGGGAAACCGGGGCUAAUACCGGAUAACAUUUUGAACUGCAUGGUUCGAAAUUGAAAGGCGGCUUCGGCUGUCACUUAUGGAUGGACCCGCGUCGCAUUAGCUAGUUGGUGAGGUAACGGCUCACCAAGGCAACGAUGCGUAGCCGACCUGAGAGGGUGAUCGGCCACACUGGGACUGAGACACGGCCCAGACUCCUACGGGAGGCAGCAGUAGGGAAUCUUCCGCAAUGGACGAAAGUCUGACGGAGCAACGCCGCGUGAGUGAUGAAGGCUUUCGGGUCGUAAAACUCUGUUGUUAGGGAAGAACAAGUGCUAGUUGAAUAAGCUGGCACCUUGACGGUACCUAACCAGAAAGCCACGGCUAACUACGUGCCAGCAGCCGCGGUAAUACGUAGGUGGCAAGCGUUAUCCGGAAUUAUUGGGCGUAAAGCGCGCGCAGGUGGUUUCUUAAGUCUGAUGUGAAAGCCCACGGCUCAACC